CAAAUUUAUCGAAGUGAAAGAUCGUACUCGUUUUUUUUUCUGAUUUUACUAACAUUGUGGUAAAUUUCGUUUCGCUAUUAGUAAGAUGAAUAGACGAUAUUAUUACUAUUUUAUCUAGAUAUUUGCAUGUAUAGUCAUUUUAAUUCAACGAUUGAGCUUUUAUUGGGGUCAAACCGGACGUUGUCAUUUGCCCCCCAAGUAGUAUUUCUUGUACCUUGCACUGAAACAAAACCAACUGAUAUUCUUACUUAUGUAAGUUUAUAUACUUACAUUUACAAAAUAUACAGACAUGGGAAUCAAACCCACGACCCCCGGACCAGCAUUCUCGGACGCUAACUUCUGCACCACCGACUCAGUCAAUAUUUAUUGCCUUUGUAAAAUGCAUUAAGUAUACUAAUAUAUUAGUACCUAUAGGUAUGGUAUCCAUAUCUACAACUCCUUCAAAUUGUUAUUCGUUUUUCUUCGUAAAAAAACGGUGUGUUCAAACAAACAAACAAAAAAUUGUGUAAUCCUGAUUUUAAAUAAACCUCAAAAUUGCUUGAGUUCAAUUUACAAUUUAAAGGCUAUGUUUUCACAAUAUUAUUUAAUUUCGAGUAGUUAGUUGUCACAGCCCUACCUUGAAUUCAGAGAUUGGUAUGUUCAGUUUGUUCUAUGUUUAAUGUUUGUUUAGUCAUUACGUCACCCCAAUACCUCAAUCUUACAUCGCUGAUCGCCUUCAACUUCAGUCGAGAUCGUCAUCUCGUGGAAGUUACUGUUUAUUUUUUAAAACAAAAUUGUCUAUGUAAAAUUGAAAAUGUUAAGCGCGUGCUGGCAGUGUAUAGGAGGAAAUCAAGACAUCAAUACAGCAGACUCUGUUGCACUGAAUUUACCUGUCAUCACAGACAAGAACAUGUUUUUGCUACCAAAGGCUCUCAGUGGAGGAGACAGCUUUACUAUACAAGGAUUGAUACAGGAUAACCCAAAAAUGGUGACAAUUUCUUUGAUAGGAGGAAUCCAAGCACCUGAUUAUGGAAAUAUCAUCUGUAAAGUUGAUGUGGAAUUUUCUAAUGGUGAAGAAAAUAUGACAAUUAGUCAAGUAACUAAUGGAAUUAGCGAAAUUGUGCAACAGUACUCUGGAACUGAAGUUUUAAAUGGCAGUGAUGUGAAAAUACAGUUUCGAGCAAGAAAAGAUGAUAUGUUGCAUUUAUAUUCAAGUUUUUCAUCUUUUAUAGGUGAAAUACCAUUAAAUUUAAAUAUCAAUAAUGCAAAAUACAUGUCAUUUGGUGGAGAUUUGAAAAAAAUCACAGAAUUAAAAUUUGAAUUUGUUUGAAAAUUGCUAUGUUUGCAAAUGCAUUUUUUGUUAGCUGUUAACUCACAGAGACUAAUUAUCGUGAAAUGUGUAUGCAAGAUAUAUUUGUACACCAUUAGUUGUAGAGUUAAAACACCAUCAUGGAAGCUUUGUUGACUGUUAUUUGUUUGAUGGUGAGCAUGUUUGAUUAGUUAUAAUGAUGUUACUGUUAAUGUUAGAAUUGGGUAUGUAUUUGACUUAAUUUUAAGUAAAAUUUAAUAUUUUGAACAUACCAAUAAUAAGUUUAUUUAUAAAUAUGAAAAGAACUCACAGUGAAAGUGGAAUACAGUUAAUUGUCAAAUUAUCAAUUUUGCAUAAAUUGGAUAAUAAUAAUAACCCAUCAGUAUUAAUUAUUAUUAAUUAUAACAACUAGACCAUUGAGGGAGACAUUUCAUUUUUAAAGUUUCAUUAUUUUAUUGUAAAAGUAAGAAUUAUAUUAUGGACAGCAUUUAGUUAAUUCAUAAAAUUAAAUUCAUUCAGAAAAAAAAAAAACAAUUGUAUUGUUCAGAGUUCUACUCAAACAAAAUGUUAUAUUCUUCAGAAUUAAUAAUAUGCUUCAAAUCCGUGAGGUAUUGAUGAUUUAAAAUUUAAAUCAUCAGUACCAAUAAUUUAAAUUUUAAAUUUGCUUCACCACGUAGGAUUGGCGUCUUACAAAGCGUUAAAUACAUUUUUAAUCUUAGAUAUGUUAUCAGUGAUGUGUUCACUUUUAGCUGUAGUCAUUGCCGUCCCACCUUUUAAGUUUGUUUUUAAAACAUUCUAAGUUUAAAAUUUAAUCAUCUCAUUGUUGCAGACGGCCCACCUGAUAGUGAGUAGUCGUGGUGACUAUCGGCCAUGGACUUCAGCAAUGCCUAUCAUUAAGUACUCUCCACAAGCCUUGUUUGAAGAAAGGACAUGUCAUCGCCCUCAGGGAACACCAUGGAGGGGAACUCAUUCCAAAGCCGAAUGGUACGUGGCAAAAAAGAUAUCUGAAAACGCACUGUGGAUGAACGCAGCAGCUCUAGGUAGUAUGUAUGAACUCUACUUUGGUGGCAGGCAGUGCCAUGGUAAAAAUGAGUUAAUGGGAUCAACUCAAAGAAUUCCUCAGAGCAUUCCCCAUGGAACAUACAAAAUACAGAGAGAAGCAAAGUCCCUCUGUAGACCCAGAGGUUCCAAUAGUCUAUUCCUGUGGUAUAUUCAUAGCAACAUACCAGAGACUUUUGGUGUUUCUUUCAAAUCAUCCCUUUUUGGUGCUAUGAUUUACAUUUUAUUACCAUUUACAUGUACACUUAAACUUUAGAUGUUCAAAUACCAAAAAGAUAAAAGUACCACCUUUUAUUUCUUUUUUCUGAAUUUUCAUAAUAACUUUAAUAAAGUUAAGUACUGUGUAAAAAUUAAGAAAAGUAUUGUUUGCAGUUUUUUCUUUAUACCAAGAAAGGGUGCUUAUCAGUUCUUUUUUUUAAUUAGCAUAGGAUAUACUAUGUUAUUACUCAAAACAUGACAAAACAAAAAAAAAAAUCAUAAUGCUUUUAAAAUGAAACCUUAGUAGCUGAAUUUCAUAUAUUUAAUUAAUAAUUAUCUUUAUGAAUUAAAUAUCUAUUUUUGUUAGUGGUUGUAAGCUUUAAAACAUAUACAGACAUGACUUGCAUGAACUUACUGUACUGCACUUGUUGGGCCUUAACAUUUCUAAUAUAAAGUUCAUGACAGUAUAACAUAAUGUUCUAUUUAAAGACAUCGCCUCUAGCCAAAAUUAUUUGAAAACAAUAGUGUACCACAUAACCACCUAUAAAUUAUAUUUGCAUUAAUAAAACUCAAUUUUGUUUUUAUUUUAGUAAA